rnacentral:rRNA from 1 species
CCUACGGGUGGCAGCAGUGAGGAAUAUUGGUCAAUGGACGGAAGUCUGAACCAGCCAUGCCGCGUGCAGGAAGACGGCCCUAUGAGUUGUAAACUGCUUUUGUACAAGGGUAAACCUGAAUACGUGUAUUCAGCUGAACGUACUGUACGAAUAAGGAUCGGCUAACUCCGUGCCAGCAGCCGCGGUAAUACGGAGGAUCCAAGCGUUAUCCGGAUUUAUUGGGUUUAAAGGGUGCGUAGGCGGAUUGAUCAGUUAGAGGGGAAAUGUCCGAGCAUAACUCGGGAACUGCCUCUAAUACUGGUGAUCUAGAGAGUAGGAGCGGCAGGCGGAAUGUAUGGUGUAGCGGUGAAAUGCUUAGAGAUCAGACAGAACACCGAUUGCGAAGGCAGCUUACCAAUCUAUAUCUGACGUUGAGGCACGAAAGCGUGGGGAGCAAACAGGAUUAGAUACCCUAGUAGUC